GGUUAAGCGACUAAGCGUACACGGUGGAUGCCCUGGCAGUCAGAGGCGAUGAAGGACGUGCUAAUCUGCGAAAAGCGUCGGUAAGGUGAUAUGAACCGUUAUAGCCGGCGAUGUCCGAAUGGGGAAACCCAGUGCAAUUCGUUGCACUAUCGUUAACUGAAUACAUAGGUUAACGAGGCGAACCGGGGGAACUGAAACAUCUAAGUACCCCGAGGAAAAGAAAUCAACCGAGAUUCCCCCAGUAGCGGCGAGCGAACGGGGAGCAGCCCAGAGUCUGAAUCAGCUUGUGUGUUAGUGGAACGGUCUGGAAAGUCCGACGGUACAGGGUGAUAGUCCCGUACACCAAAAUGCACAGGUUGUGAACUCGAAGAGUAGGGCGGGACACGUGGUAUCCUGUCUGAAUAUGGGGGGACCAUCCUCCAAGGCUAAAUACUCCUGACUGACCGAUAGUGAACCAGUACCGUGAGGGAAAGGCGAAAAGAACCCCGGCGAGGGGAGUGAAAAAGAACCUGAAACCGUGUACGUACAAGCAGUGGGAGCACCUUCGGGUGUGACUGCGUACCUUUUGUAUAAUGGGUCAGCGACUUAUAUUCUGUAGCAAGGUUAACCGUAUAGGGGAGCCGCAGGGAAACCGAGUCUUAACUGGGCGUUAAGUUGCAGGGUAUAGACCCGAAACCCGGUGAUCUAGCCAUGGGCAGGUUGAAGGUUGGGUAACACUAACUGGAGGACCGAACCGACUAAUGUUGAAAAAUUAGCGGAUGACUUGUGGCUGGGGGUGAAAGGCCAAUCAAACCGGGAGAUAGCUGGUUCUCCCCGAAAGCUAUUUAGGUAGCGCCUCGUGAAUUCAUCUUCGGGGGUAGAGCACUGUUUCGGCUAGGGGGUCAUCCCGACUUACCAACCCGAUGCAAACUACGAAUACCGAAGAAUGUUAUCACGGGAGACACACGGCGGGUGCUAACGUCCGUCGUGAAGAGGGAAACAACCCAGACCGCCAGCUAAGGUCCCAAAGUCAUGGUUAAGUGGGAAACGAUGUGGGAAGGCACAGACAGCCAGGAUGUUGGCUUAGAAGCAGCCAUCAUUUAAAGAAAGCGUAAUAGCUCACUGGUCGAGUCGGCCUGCGCGGAAGAUGUAACGGGGCUAAACCAUGCACCGAAGCUGCGGCAGCGACACUAUGUGUUGUUGGGUAGGGGAGCGUUCUGUAAGCCUGCGAAGGUGACCUGUGAGGGUUGCUGGAGGUAUCAGAAGUGCGAAUGCUGACAUAAGUAACGAUAAAGCGGGUGAAAAGCCCGCUCGCCGGAAGACCAAGGGUUCCUGUCCAACGUUAAUCGGGGCAGGGUGAGUCGACCCCUAAGGCGAGGCCGAAAGGCGUAGUCGAUGGGAAACAGGUUAAUAUUCCUGUACUUGGUGUUACUGCGAAGGGGGGACGGAGAAGGCUAUGUUAGCCGGGCGACGGUUGUCCCGGUUUAAGCAUGUAGGCUGGUUAUCCAGGCAAAUCCGGAUAAUCAAGGCUGAGGUGUGAUGACGAGGCACUACGGUGCUGAAGUAACAAAUGCCCUGCUUCCAGGAAAAGCCUCUAAGCAUCAGGUAACAUCAAAUCGUACCCCAAACCGACACAGGUGGUCAGGUAGAGAAUACCAAGGCGCUUGAGAGAACUCGGGUGAAGGAACUAGGCAAAAUGGUGCCGUAACUUCGGGAGAAGGCACGCUGGUGUGUAGGUGAAGUCCCUGCGGAUGGAGCUGAGACCAGUCGAAGAUACCAGCUGGCUGCAACUGUUUAUUAAAAACACAGCACUGUGCAAACACGAAAGUGGACGUAUACGGUGUGACGCCUGCCCGGUGCCGGAAGGUUAAUUGAUGGGGUUAUCCGUAAGGAGAAGCUCUUGAUCGAAGCCCCGGUAAACGGCGGCCGUAACUAUAACGGUCCUAAGGUAGCGAAAUUCCUUGUCGGGUAAGUUCCGACCUGCACGAAUGGCGUAAUGAUGGCCAGGCUGUCUCCACCCGAGACUCAGUGAAAUUGAACUCGCUGUGAAGAUGCAGUGUACCCGCGGCAAGACGGAAAGACCCCGUGAACCUUUACUAUAGCUUGACACUGAACAUUGAGCCUUGAUGUGUAGGAUAGGUGGGAGGCUUUGAAGCGUGGACGCCAGUCUGCGUGGAGCCAACCUUGAAAUACCACCCUUUAAUGUUUGAUGUUCUAACGUUGGCCCCUGACCGGGGUUGCGGACAGUGUCUGGUGGGUAGUUUGACUGGGGCGGUCUCCUCCCAAAGCGUAACGGAGGAGCACGAAGGUUAGCUAAUCCUGGUCGGACAUCAGGAGGUUAGUGCAAUGGCAUAAGCUAGCUUGACUGCGAGCGUGACGGCGCGAGCAGGUGCGAAAGCAGGUCAUAGUGAUCCGGUGGUUCUGAAUGGAAGGGCCAUCGCUCAACGGAUAAAAGGUACUCCGGGGAUAACAGGCUGAUACCGCCCAAGAGUUCAUAUCGACGGCGGUGUUUGGCACCUCGAUGUCGGCUCAUCACAUCCUGGGGCUGAAGUAGGUCCCAAGGGUAUGGCUGUUCGCCAUUUAAAGUGGUACGCGAGCUGGGUUUAGAACGUCGUGAGACAGUUCGGUCCCUAUCUGCCGUGGGCGCUGGAGAAUUGAGGGGGGCUGCUCCUAGUACGAGAGGACCGGAGUGGACGCAUCACUGGUGUUCGGGUUGUCAUGCCAAUGGCACUGCCCGGUAGCUAAAUGCGGAAGAGAUAAGUGCUGAAAGCAUCUAAGCACGAAACUUGCCCCGAGAUGAGUUCUCCCUGAGACUUUAAGUCUCCUGAAGGAACGUUAAAGACGAUGACGUUGAUAGGCCGGGUGUGUAAGCGCAGCGAUGCGUUGAGCUAACCGGUACUAAUGAACCGUGAGGCUUAACCUU
rnacentral:rRNA from 2 species